rnacentral:rRNA from 2 species
UAGUGGCGAACGGGUGAGUAACACGUGGGCAAUCUGCCCUUCACUCUGGGACAAGCCCUGGAAACGGGGUCUAAUACCGGAUAACACUCUUCUCUGCAUGGGGGAGGGUUGAAAGCUCCGGCGGUGGAGGAUGAGCCCGCGGCCUAUCAGCUUGUUGGUGGGGUGAUGGCCUACCAAGGCGACGACGGGUAGCCGGCCUGAGAGGGCGACCGGCCACACUGGGACUGAGACACGGCCCAGACUCCUACGGGAGGCAGCAGUGGGGAAUAUUGCACAAUGGGCGGAAGCCUGAUGCAGCGACGCCGCGUGAGGGAUGACGGCCUUCGGGUUGUAAACCUCUUUCAGCAGGGAAGAAGCGUGAGUGACGGUACCUGCAGAAGAAGCGCCGGCUAACUACGUGCCAGCAGCCGCGGUAAUACGUAGGGCGCAAGCGUUGUCCGGAAUUAUUGGGCGUAAAGAGCUCGUAGGCGGCUUGUCGCGUCGGAUGUGAAAGCCCGGGGCUCAACCCCGGGUCUGCAUUCGAUACGGGCAGGCUGGAGUGUGGUAGGGGAGAUCGGAAUUCCU